rnacentral:lncRNA from 1 species
UUUGAAAUGACACGUCUUAGAUGUACCAUCUGUCACCACAUGCCCGAUUGCUACUUUUUUACCAAACUUAUCAAAUAAAUAGACUCGAGGAUUUUCAACAAGAGUAAUCGUUGGAGGGACUGGUGCUACUCCAAGGGUGCGGAAAUUAUUGUUUAGGUGUUGAGUAGCAUAAAUAGAAGGGCUAACAGAAUUUGAUCCAAGCUCACUUGAAGAUGUAGGUGUAUCACUUGUUUUUUCCAUUUUUUCCAAUUUUUAAAAUAGCGAAAGAAGCAUACCUUCGAGGCCAUCAAAUCUUGAGAGUAUCGCAGCCUUCUC